CCUACGGGAGGCAGCAGUAAGGAAUAUUGGUCAAUGGGCGGAAGCCUGAACCAGCCAUGCCGCGUGCAGGAAGACGGCCCUAUGGGUUGUAAACUGCUUUUGUACCGGAAUAAACCCCCGAACGUGUUCGGGGCUGAAUGUACGGUAAGAAUAAGGAUCGGCUAACUCCGUGCCAGCAGCCGCGGUAAUACGGAGGAUCCGAGCGUUAUCCGGAUUUAUUGGGUUUAAAGGGUGCGUAGGCGGCCUGUUAAGUCAGGGGUGAAAGACGGUAGCUCAACUAUCGCAGUGCCUUUGAUACUGACGGGCUUGAAUGUACUUGAGGUAGGCGGAAUGUGACAAGUAGCGGUGAAAUGCAUAGAUAUGUCACAGAACACCAAUUGCGAAGGCAGCUUACUAAGGUAUGAUUGACGCUGAGGCACGAAAGCGUGGGGAUCAAACAGGAUUAGAUACCCUGGUAGUCCACGCCCUAAACGAUGAAUACUCGAUGUUGGCGAUAUACGGCCAGCGUCUAAGCGAAAGCGUUAAGUAUUCCACCUGGGAGUACGCCCGCAAGGGUGAAACUCAAUGAAUUGACGGCUGAGAGNGCGAGACGACGACGAGGGAGAG
rnacentral:rRNA from 1 species